rnacentral:rRNA from 1 species
ACAGUCAUCCUACGGGAAGGCAGCAGUAGGGAAUCUUCCACAAUGGGCGCAAGCCUGAUGGAGCAACACCGCGUGAGUGAAGAAGGGUUUCGGCUCGUAAAGCUCUGUUGUUGGAGAAGAACGUGCGUGAGAGUAACUGUUCACGCAGUGACGGUAUCCAACCAGAAAGUCACGGCUAACUACGUGCC